AUGGGAGGAACAAGUGUCAAUAUUAUUUGGAGCAAGAUUUGGAAAUUAUCUUGUCCAGCAAAAGUGAAGAUCUUUAUUUGGCGUACCUUACAUGGAACCCUCCCAUGUCGUGUUACACUUGCUAAUAGACAUAUGAAAGUUUCCCCCACCUGCCCAUCAUGUUCGAACGGGCAUGAAAAUACUAAACACUUAUUAUUUUUGUGUCAAAAGGCAGAGGUGUGGGAGAAACUGGGAUUGCACGAAGCCAUUAAAAAAGCUUGCGUUGUCGAUCGUGCGGGAGAGGCAGUACUCGAAUUUCUACUUCUUAUGCCAGAACACGAGCUAUCUACAGUGGGCAUAUAGAAUGUUCGCGAACUGAUCGCUAUAGCAACCUGGUAUUUAUGGUGGGAAAGACGUUCCCUAGUCCAUCAUGGGAAGACCCAAGAUGCAUACCAAAUUUCGAAGGGAGUCCGUGCUAUAACAACAAACUAUGUUAUUGCCCAAUCCUCCAAGGCAACAAAUAGAAUAGAGGGAUGGACGAGACCCCCUCUAGGUUUUGUCAAAUUAAAUGUCGAUGCUUCUUUCGAUCAAGACAUGCUUAGAGGCACAGCGGGAGCUGUACCUAGAGAUGAUAAAGGAAGAUUUAUUGUUGGCGGGAAUUGGAAGAUGGAUUGGUGUGCAGAUGUCUUAACAGCGGAAGCUAUGGCACUACGUUUUGGCUUAUUACUUGCACAAAAGGCGGGAAGCAACCGACUUGUUGUUAACUCCGACAAUAUGGAAGUAAUUGACACAAUGAAGAAUGGAGGACAUAUAGCGGGAGCGGCGGCAGCUGUGUUUGAUGAUUGUUAUUUUAUGGUUUGUGAUUUUCCGUUAGUUAGAUUUGAACAUUGUAAUAGGAAGGCAAAUAAAGUAGCUCAUGAAAUUGCCAGAGUAGCUAAAUUUUCUUAG
rnacentral:rRNA from 1 species